rnacentral:lncRNA from 1 species
GAAUACUCUCUGGCAGGCUACAGGUGCCUGCAUCCUGGGCGCUUGGGUGUGUAUGCGCACACACGGCCGCCUGCACAUCCGUCUGCUUGCACGCGUCUGCUUGCACACCCCUGCGCUGGCGUUCUGAGCUGGUGCACACCUGCACGCAUACCCGCAUACAAAUUCGGUCCCCAGCCAUUCCCAGCCGGAUGUGGUACAGACAGAGGGCUCUCUGGCAGGGUGAGCUUGGCAUCUCAGCCUCCUCCUGUACAACCUGGGUGCCUGUGGCAGGGGAGGGAACUGAGGGCCUACGGAGCCAGUCGCCAGGUCAGAUGGCAGCUCGGGUCUCCAGACUCCAGCCCUGAGGCUGCACGGCGGCACGGCCAAGGACAGGAAUGCUUUCUGCUCGAGCCAGGAGACAGAUGGGUCUCUUCCUUCCUGUCCGUCUCUCAAGCUCCCUCCUCAGAGCUUCAUUCUCCAGCCUCCUGUGGGAAUCGUGGGAAUCGUCUGAAGUUUGAGCCUAGAACCAGAGGAGGAGGAGGAGGAGGAGGAAGAAGACAAGGAAGAGGAGGAGGAGGAGGGAGAGGAAGUCUUGAGAGCCCGUGCACCUUUCCAGAAACAGGCGGUGGGGGUGCGUCCCAGGCCCAUCCUCGGUGGCCCACGCCUGCCAGUAGCACCCCUGAGAGGACCCCCCCCCCACCGCCGCCCUCUACCGCGGUUGGCACCGGCCGCGUCUGCUCCCUCGGGGGGACCCCUGUGCCGGGGGUCGCCCCCAAGAUGGUGGCGGCCCCAGGGAGGACUGUGCCGCCAGCCCCAGCCUCCCGCUGCUAGGUCCCCUGUGCCCCGGGCCCCCCUUACCCCAAGCCCGGCCUUCCA